CAGCAGCCGCGGGAAUACGAAGGGGGCUAGCGUUGUUCGGAAUUACUGGGCGUAAAGGGCGCGUAGGCGGCCAUUCAAGUUAGAUGUGAAAGCCCUGGGCUCAACCUAGGAAUUGCAUUUGAUACUGUUUGGCUUGAGUUCGGGAGAGGUGAGUGGAAUUCCCAGUGUAGAGGUGAAAUUCGUAGAUAUUGGGAAGAACACCAGUGGCGAAGGCGGCUCACUGGACCGACACUGACGCUGAGGCGCGAAAGCGUGGGGAGCAAACGGGAUUAGAUACCCGAGUAGUCCCUGUCUCUUAUAA
rnacentral:rRNA from 1 species